rnacentral:rRNA from 1 species
UACGGGGGGGGCAAGCGUUGUUCGGAAUUACUGGGCGUAAAGGGCGCGUAGGCGGCCAUCUAAGUCAGACGUGAAAUCCCUCGGCUCAACCGAGGAACUGCGUCUGAUACUGGAAGGCUUGAAUCCGGGAGAGGGAUGUGGAAUUCCAGGUGUAGCGGUGAAAUGCGUAGAUAUCUGGAGGAACACCGGUGGCGAAGGCGGCAUCCUGGACCGGUAUUGACGCUGAUGCGCGAAAGCCAGGGGAGCAAACGGG